rnacentral:lncRNA from 1 species
CAGCAACAUCACCACCCCAUUCCCUGUUGAGCUGUAAUUGAUUCCAGGUGACUCAUGGCCAUGCCGGCAGCAGCUGAGCCUCUUAUAAACCUUUCCAUUCUGCAGUGGCUGGGCAGCACUGACCUGCAGGAGCUCACAGCUCAGCUCCUCUGCAGCUCGAGAAGAAGCAGUUACGACAUGCCCAGUGCCACCAGCAGGACACUGGGUGGGCCCCAUGGGCUGGGGCAAAACAUGCAGGGAAGCUGGCUUGAGGAACAAAUGUCAGGCCAUUUUUCCAUUCGUUCAUUCCACUCGUGAAGGCAGCACGUGGCGGGUACUGGGGAACAGAGCUGAGCCCGACAGGGACGGCCCUGCCUUCAGCUCUGUCAUGUGGAUGGCUGCCCCCCAUCUCCAGGUCUCUUCACCAGCAAUGUCCCUCCCACUUCAGGAGUCCCUCGACUCCAGGCCCGCUGCAUUUCGAGAGAAGGCUCGGCCGUGCUGCUAGCCAGCUCUGGGGCUCACCUCCCACCCACGAAGCUUUAUUUCUCUGCUAAUAAGAUGGAUGUGGCUCAUUGCCUCUCCUCCCACAGGAAGAGCAGCCCUAUCGGGUUUGGGUUUUGAUGAACAGCUGUGGAAUUCCUCCAUCCCACUAGGAGAGCAGUGAGCACAGAGGCCGCAGGAGCGUGGGAGAGAGCAGCUAACCGAGUCUGGGUUUCUGGGACUUUCUUGAGGGAGGACACAUGUCCACGGUGAGACGCAGCAGGGAGCGGAGCUGGAGGAGGCGAGGCUGGGGUGGUGUGGGAGUGGGGGCCGCCCGGCUGAGAGGGCCUCUCGGUGGCCCCCGCUGCCCCCAAGGCGGAGCUGGAGCCCCCUGCAUCGGGAGCUCUCUGCAUCAGGAUUCUCUGCGUUGUUGGAGCAGCAACUGUUGACCCAUGUGAGCCACGAUCUGCGUGUUCGGAAGGGAAGACAGUCCUGAGGGAGCAUUUCUGUGGCUUCAGGCUCCGGGCGGGGCUGGCGGAAGCGUGGCCCCGGGGCCAGUCAGCACCUGAACCUAACUGCCCGACGUUGGGGCCUCUGUCUCCAGAGAGGCCCAGGCAGCCAGUGCAACAAUAUUAAGAUGAUUUUUAAUUUUGAAAUCAUUUUGGACUUACAGAAGAGUUGUCUUUAAAACGGUACAAAAAAAUCCCCGUAUGCCCUUGGCGCUCAGAGUCACUGAUGGCUGGGACUUCGCUGCCUCUGCUUUAUUCCCGUUCUCUAUCUGCACGUUUGGUUUUUUUCCCCAGAAUGAUUUUAGAUGCAGCCUUAACGUCGCUUUGCCCUUAAAUCCUUCAGCACGUGUUAAAGAACGCGGGCGUUCCCUCUCAUCUUGCAGAAAAAUUCUCCAAGUCCAGUGACACCAUCCUGUUUUCCAGUAAUUGCAUGCCAUUGAUUGUCCUGAUAUUUGCCGUUAUGGCGAUUGUCCUCCUUCCCUCUCUGAGAUCUGGCCCAGGAGGAAGCAUGGCUUUUCAAGGCCACGUCUCUUUGGUUUCCUUCCAUUUUUCUCUCUCUCUCAUGACCCUUAUGGUUUUGAGAGCCCAGGCCAGUGGUUUUAGCAGACAGCCUGCAUUUUAAACAUGUUUCUCUGGCGAGUCGAUGCCCUCUCCGAUUUGAGAACCACU